AAAUCAGUUCCAAGUUCUAACCUAAAAAUAGAAAAAAAUCAUCAGAGUCAUAAUCUCAGUAAAUUUACAAUUAAUUGUUGGUGUUAAAAAAAGCGAUAAAAUGAUAUUAUACAGCAUAUAUACUUACAGAUUAAUGUUAAAAUAAUAAUAACAAUAAUAGUAUAUAUAUAUAUAUAUGCGGGUAUCCUUGAGAAAAAUAAUAAAUUCAUAAUGUAAUCACGUAUUUAGUAUAUGAAGUUGAAUGGCCAAACAAUUGUCAAAGUAUUUUUAUUCAACACUGGAUUGAUAUAAUUGAAGGUUUUAAUUUAGUGUACAAUUAUGAUGAGUCUACUCCAAUUAAUUUAAACGAUAACCCGAAAUAGUAAUCGGAGAUAAAUUCGACCUAACUUGUGUGAUUAAUGAGCGUAUCAAUAAAAAAAUAACUUUAAACUCGCUUUGUUUGCGCAGAUCUCUCGCUCCCUCUUGUAUCAAAGAUACUCUCCAUUCCAAGAAGUGUACAGUCAUUGGAAAAAGUACACGCUAAAUUGCGUUACUUUAAAUCAACCAGACUUAAACUUACACUUACACACUCGCACAUACUCAUACUUAUAAAUAAUAAAUACAAAAUUACAAUCAUUAUAAGACAUUAUCCACUUUAUAACU